rnacentral:rRNA from 1 species
AAUUCAUUGAUCUUGAUGUGGUGUGAAGCUUUGUUUAAAGAUAUUACCCAUGCAUGUUUAAAAUAGUCCCACCUCGGUGUGACAAUUUGCACAAAGCUUAUUAAAACAUCUGUAACAUAAAGCAUAGUGGACUCGUUUACAAGGAUAUCCCCGGUAACUCCACGCUUAAUACUUGCAUCAAACAUCCAACUGAGGGCGCAAGCCCCCGGAAGAUGGCAUUUAUUAGUUCUGAACCAACUACUUCCACAGAGGCAACUCUGCGGCAGUCCAAUUGACUUCUAAUAACUCUACGCGGAUCUUCAGCAAUGAAGACAAAUGCUAUUGACAGAUGACGUAUUAGUUUGUUAGGUGUGUCUUGGACACCUAAGACGUUCAUACGCACAGGGAUCUAUCGAUCGGCUCUGGAGAGAAAGCCUGAGAAACAGCUUUCAUUUCUAAGGACAGCAGCAGGGACGAAAAUUGCACACUACGCAAUUGCGUGAUGCAGUGACAAUCUGUAAUUAUUUUGAUGGGGUCAAACCUGUUAAAAAUAGUUAAUAAAAUAUUCAUCUAAACCCAUUUUAGGAAAAAGAAGGCCAUCGCUUUGCCAGCAGCUGCGGUAAUAAUGCAUCUUUGAGUUUGACAUCCGAUUAUUGCGAUUAAAACGUUCGUAGUUGGUGUUCUUAGCUAUCGUUUGUGUUGGUCUUUGUGUCGUGUUUUUACGCGAUUUCAGCCACGCAGAUUUCAUUUUUGUUGAUAGCUAACAUUCCUGUGUCUUUAAAGGUGUUAAAGCCGGCAAAGGGGCAGGAUAUACCAUGAGAAAAAGAGUACGCUAAAUGUGGGCUCUUAUUAUUAAUGCUUGAAUCAUUCAGCAUGGAAUAUACACAACAGGCUUUUAUCGGUGGGGGUGUUCGCGCAUCCUUACCGGUAGAUGUACUGCGGCGACGUAGUGCAUUUUGGUUUUUGUUUGUAAAUUGGUUUAUCAUAACCGAGUCAUGAUCGAUAGGAAAGGUUGAGGAGGUGUAUGUAUGCGUGGGAGAGAGGUGAAAUUUGAUGACCCCACAGCAGACAAACAAAAGCGAAAGCAUUCAUCAAUUACUUCUUCUUUAAUCAAGAACGAAAGUUAGAGUAGCAAAGGCCAUUAGAUGCAGCUGUAGUUUUAACCAUAAACGAUGACAUCUCAGGAUAUCAUUGAUGGGGUUUUCUUUGCUGUGGUGUGUGGCGGGGAGCGAUCUCCGUCAUGGCAGCACAGCGGAAACUAACAAACCCCUUGUACGCUUGAUACACAGGAGUAAUCCUGUAUAUCGCCAAGUCCAAUGACGCACUGUGUGGGAAACCAACAAGCUGCCUUCGUGGAGUGUAUUUUGGCAACGAAGAAAUUUAAAAGAAUUGACGGAAGUAUCACCACCAGGAGUGGAUCGUGCGGCUUAAUUUGACUCAACGCGGGAAAUCUCACCAGAGCCGAACACCGUGAGGAAAGACAGACUGCAGCUCUUUCUUGAUUCUGUGAUUGUCAAAUGUAGUGCAUGGCCUUUGGGAAGUGGGUACUGUGAAGUCGCUCAUUAAUUUAGAUAACCAGCGAGACCUCAUCCUUGAUCUCGCCGUUCCAGCUGGCUUCGCGGCCAGCACGGCGAGAUGUUGUAAAUACAUGUCGAGUGGGCUUGCCCUACCCGGAGAGUAUUCUUUACCGAAUAUGCAUGUUCUUAAAGGAACUACUGGUGUUUUAACCAGGGGAAGCUUGAGGCGAUAAAAGGUCCGUGAUGCUCUCAGAUGUUCUGGGCCGCUCGCGCGCUACACUGUUUUGAUCAGAAAGUUUUUUGUACAUUUUGUUCUUGCUUCGGUGGUAACACCGUGGCCGAAAUUACACCUUGCUCGAGAGGGCCGGGAACUCUUGGAACUCAAACUGUGCUAAGGAUAGACGAUUGUAAUUAUUUGUCUUGAAUGAGGAAUUCCUAGUAAAUGCAAGUCAUCAACUUGCGUUGAAUACGUUUCUGGUCUUUGUACACACCGCCCGUCGCUGUUACCGAUUGGAUGGCUCAAUGAGUAGCAAGGAGGUUGUCUUUGAGAUGAUUGAAUUGCCUCGAAUCGUGUCAUCUAGAGGAAGCAAAAGUCGUAACAAGGUAUCGGUAGGUGAACCUGCAG